UACGUAGGGUGCAAGCGUUGUCCGGAAUUAUUGGGCGUAAAGGGCUCGUAGGCGGUCUGUCACGUCGGGAGUGAAAACUCGGGGCUUAACCCCGAGCCUGCUUCCGAUACGGGCAGACUAGAGGUAUGCAGGGGAGAAUGGAAUUCCUGGUGUAGCGGUGAAAUGCGCAGAUAUCAGGAGGAACACCGGUGGCGAAGGCGGUUCUCUGGGCAUUACCUGACGCUGAGGCACGAAGGUCAGGGGAGCAAACGGG
rnacentral:rRNA from 1 species